rnacentral:rRNA from 1 species
CCUACCAUCAUUAGUUACCAUCAGGUAAGGCUGGGGACUCUAAUGAGACUGCCAUCGUAAGAUGUGAGGAAGGUGGGGAUGACGUCAAAUCAGCACGGCCCUUACGUCCGGGGCGACACACGUGUUACAAUGGGUGGUACAAAGGGCAGCUACCUGGCGACAGGAUGCUAAUCUCCAAAACCACUCUCAGUUCGGAUCGGAGUCUGCAACUCGACUCCGUGAAGCUGGAUUCGCUAGUAAUCGCGCAUCAGCCACGGCGCGGUGAAUACGUUCCCGGGCCUU